rnacentral:sRNA from 1 species
UGUUCGUGCAUGAGCAACUGCUUCACCUU